AGAGUUUGAUUCUGGCUCAGGAUGAACGCUGGCGGCGUGCUUAACACAUGCAAGUCGAACGGAAACUUAAUGAAACCUAGUGAUUUAAGUUUAGUGGCGGACGGGUGAGUAACGCGUGGGUAACCUGCCGUAUGCAGGGGGAUAACGGUUAGAAAUGACUGCUAAUACCGCAUAAGACCACAGUCUCGCAUGAGACAGGGGUAAAAACUCCGGUGGCAUACGAUGGACCCGCGUCUGAUUAGAUAGUUGGUGAGGUAACGGCCCACCAAGUCAACGAUCAGUAGCCGGCCUGAGAGGGUGAACGGCCACAUUGGGACUGAGACACGGCCCAAACUCCUACGGGAGGCAGCAGUGGGGAAUAUUGCACAAUGGGCGAAAGCCUGAUGCAAGCGACGCCGCGUGAGUGAAGAAGUAUUUCGGUAUGUAAAGCUCUAUCAGCAGGGAAGAAAAUGACGGUACCUGACUAAGAAGCACCGGCUAAAUACGUGCCAGCAGCGGC
rnacentral:rRNA from 1 species